rnacentral:lncRNA from 1 species
UAAAAUUAGUAUUUGAUCCGUGCGAUACACAAAUAAUAUAAUAAUAUAAAAUAACAAAAAUUAUUAUGUGAUGAUAAAAAAAAUAUUCUAAUUAAUAUUAUAUUUUUUUAACAAAUAAAGAAAUAUACUAUUAAUCUUAAUUCUAGUACAUAUUAAAGUACAAAAGCAAGAGAAAAAAAAUUAUGGACCAAAGUAAAUACUCAAGUAAAAAGCAAAAUUCAACCAUGCACUAUUAUCUAUGAAUUGGUGUGCAAAAUAAUUUGCAUUACAUAUUGAUGUGCAAAACAAAAUGAUAAUUAAAAUUGAUAUGAAAAAUUACAAAUGAUAUUAAUAUUUAAACUUUUAUAUUUGACACAAAUUAGAGUAAGCACACACAUAUGAGAGACAUACAAACUUUCAAGACUAAAAAAUAUAUAGAUGUUGGUCUUCAAGAAAAUAUAAAGAAAAAAAAACUUUGUUGCCUACUUAUUAUAAAGUUAUCUACAAUAUAAUUUGUUUUGAAUAUAACUGUCAAUCUAGCCAUAUUUAGAGAAUCUAUAUUUGUAUUUGAGCUUGACACGUGGCAAACAUAUAGAAAGCCACGUGUCAGCUUCUCACAUAGGGUUCAUAAAGGGGUCUAUUUUAGUAUAUAAUAAUAGAUAAUAGAUAAUAGAUAAUAGAUAGAUUUAGAAAAUCUAUAUUUGUAUUUGACAUUGACACGUGGCAAGCAUAUAGAAAGCCACGUGUCAGCUUCUCACGUAGGGUUCAUAAAGGGUUCUACUUUAGUAUAUAGUAAUAGAAAAUCUAUAUUUGUAUUCAAGCUUAACAUGUGGCAAGCAUAUAGAAAAUCAUGUGUCAACUUCUCACAUAGGGUUCAUAAAAGGGUCUACUUUAGUAUAUAGUAAUAGAUAGAUUUAGAAAAUCUAUAUUUAUAUUUGACCUUGACACGUGACAAGCAUAUAGAAUGUCACGUGUCAGCUUCUUACAUAGGGUUUAUAAAGUGUCAUACUUUAGUAUAUAGUAAUAAUAUCCUAGAAAAUCUAUAUUUGUAAUUGAGCUUGACACGUGGCAAGCAUAUAGAAAGCCACGUGUCAGCUUCUCACAUAGGGUUCAUAAAGGGGUCUACUUUAAUAUAUAGUAAUCGAUAUCCGCACCUGCCAAUAUCCGUGAAUUUUGCAAUAUCUCAUUUUCUCAAUAUCUCAUUAAUCCACCUACCAUUUGAAUUUGAGAAUAUAGUUUUUCCUUCUUACGCGUAAUAUCCACACCCGCCAAUUCUUUCGCAACGUAAAAUCCAUGAAUUUCGCAAUAUCUUAUAGAAUAGUAAAUAGAAUAGAUAUGUAAUUUAGAAAAUUUAUAUUUAUAUUUGAGCUUGACACGUGGUAAGCAUAUAGAAAGCCACGUGUCAGUUUCUCACAAAGGGUUCAUAAAGGGUUCAACUUUAGUAUAUAGUAAAUAUAGUAAUAUCCGCACCUGCCAAUAUCCGUGAAUUUUGCAAUAUCUCAUUUUCUCAAAUAUCAUUAAUCCACCUACCAUUUGAAUUUAAGAAUAUAGUUUUUCCUUCUCACGUGUAAUAUUCUCAUCUGCCAAUUUUUCCGCAAUGUAAUAUUCGUGAAUUUCACAAUAUCUCAUAGAAUAGUAAAUAGAAUAGAUAUGUAAUUUAGAAAAUCUAUAUUUAUAUUUGAGCUUGACACGUGGCAAGCAUAUAGAAAGCCACGUGUCAGUUUAUUAUAUAGGGUUCAUAAAGGGUUCUAAUUAGGUGUCAGUAAAAUCAAACUGAUUUUGAAAAAAUAGAUUUUUAGUUUCGUUAUUGAAAUUUUGGUUCGGUUGAACAACUUUAUUG